GGGGAAUUGGCUCAGUUGGCUAGAGCAUCUGCCCUGCACGCAGAGGGUCACCGGUUCGAGUCCGGUAUUCUCCACCA
rnacentral:tRNA from 1 species